AUGGUCAUAUCACGUUUAAACACCGGUUCUCGUAUGAUAACCGAAGUUAAGCAACGUUGAGCUUGGUCAGUACCUAGAUGGGUGAUCACUUGGGAAUACCAGUUACUGUAAG